rnacentral:lncRNA from 1 species
CACAAACGCUCCCUUCCCCAGACCAUGGGGCCAGGGCUAAGCCCACAGGAAGGCUGGGCCAUGUCCCCCGCACCCAGGUCCCUGAGGGGCUGAGGCCUGGGCCCCCCAAGGCAGAGGCAAAGGGGCCACAGCUGGGUCCCUGCCUCCCUGGGACGGAGCCAGCAGGCUGGGGCAGGAGUCAGCUGGAGCUCUAAGCCACCCCGGUCCUCUUGAGCGCUGUGGCUGCGUCCUAGGCACUGGCGUCCCAACUGGAGAGAAUCUGGAGUCAGCGCAGGCCUCAGUCCUCCAUCCUCACUCCCAGCUGGCCACCAGCUCAAGAGAAGCUUCUGUAACCCCAAGAACUGUCGCCUGCCCAGAGCAGGUGAGGAAAUGCUCUGAGUCAGGGCGUUUCAGGCUAGCUGUGAGGGCACAAAGGAAGCUGUUUCUCCGAGCUUGGCACUGAGGAGUCAUAGCCAUGCUGGUAAAUGAGAGCCCAGGGCAGCAGUGGCAGGAGUUGAGUGUUUCCAAACCAUACUGCCGCAUGCCACACAACUAUGGACAAGCUGUGUCCACCUUCUGGGCCUCAAUUUCCCAUCUCUGAAGUCAAGCUGCUGUCAGCAAGGCGGGAGAGAACAGGGUGGGAACAUACCCCGACUUUGUGCCCACCCCAGCCGCAGAUUCCCCCGACCUGAAGCAGAUUCGGCUCUGGUGGAGGAGGAAAAGGGACACACAUAUAAAAAAGGAAACACUGCAAGGGAGAGAACUGAAAAGAAAAGGAGAGGAGCCCAGCAGAUCCUCCAGCCCCUGCCGCCAUCUGUGCCACAAGCCCUGGGGUCCCUCACGUCGGUCAACCCCGAGACAAUGCUGGAGGCAGAUUCCAGGCAGUUUUUUAUUCACGGCUCUUUGAGGGGUCUCCGCUCCAUAUGCGUUCAGCCCACCGCUGUGGUAAAGCCUGUGGCUCCCAGGAUUGACAUGGUAAUGAAGCCCUGCAGCAGCCGCCCUAGGUCUGCCCUGUGCACAGCAUCUUGCCUGCCAGCGCUGGGCCUGUUUGUCCCUGGCCCAAGCCUCCCUUUGUACCCCAUGGCGGCUUUGCCCAGAAACCAAAGUGCCCGGAUGCUGCAUUCCAGGAAGUUGAGUUUGAUCAUUUUCAGGCACUGACAGUGGGCCUCAGAGCUAAGCAACUUCAUGCACUUGCUGUUGGGAAACCUUGUUAGCCAAAGAGGAAAGCCAGCCCCCCGGAAAAGUGAGGCGCAGGAGGAAGGCAGUGGGAAGAGAGGGAAAUUUGGCUAAUGAAUUUUCCUCGGACUCUACCAAAAGGCAUUUGCUCAAGUAAUUAGUGUAUGUGAACUUUAUUUAAAUAGGAUCCUGUCAAUGAAAGGUUUCUACAGGGAAGCAGUGAAACCUGGGAGGGUUUACAGAAGGGCGCUGCCAUCUUUAGCAAAUAUGCACUCUGCCACAUCCAAUGAUUUCAUUUAAUUUGAUUUGACAUUUAUGAGCCUUGCUGGGGCAAGAUGGGUAUUUCUGUACUCUCUUUGCUGUAACCUCACCUGACUGCACACAGCCCGGAAGAAUAAAUGUCACAGGCAUCAUGCUGCAGAGCCAGGGACUAUCCUGGGGAGGUGCAGCUUGGCUGGAAGGUGCAAGUGGACCCAUGCAGUGGGGGCUCUUGCGAGCUUCCACAGGCAGGCCCACCUGGGGCUCAGCAUGUUUUGUUUGGUUUUCUCACAGCCAGAAUGAAUUAGGGAAAAUAAAAUGUCCUUGACCACCUAUGAGAGCAACUUUUCCAGGCAGGGGUCCAGGAAGUCAUUUCAUUGUAAGAGAAUAGAGAGACAAGGUCUCUGUGAACAUCAAAGGCAAGAAUGACCCCCACUGCAGAACUCUCAAGCAUGCAGAGCAGGGCCUUGGAAAGGUGGUUGACUGGAACUGGCUGUAGGAGGUGACCCUGGGGUGAGACCUGGAGGGGUGUAGUCUGGUCCGCUC